rnacentral:misc_RNA from 1 species
GAUGAAGAACGUAGUGAAAUGCGAUAAGUAAUGCGAAUUGCAGAAUUCCAGUGAGUCAUCGAAUCUUUGAACGCACAUUGCGCCCCUUGGUAUCCCGAGGGCAUGCCUGUUCGAGCGUCAUUUCACCACUCAAGCCUGGCUUGGUGUUGGGCGACGUCCUCUUUGGGGACGCGCCUCGAAACGCUCGGCGGCGUGGCACCGGCUUUAAGCGUAGCAGAAUCUUUCGCUUUGGAAGUCGGGGCCCCGUCUGCCGGAAGACCUGCUCGCAAGGUUGACCUCGGAUCAGGCAGGGAUACCCGCUGAACUUAAGCAUAUCAAUAAGCGGAGGA